GUUUUAAUAGUUUAAAAUUAAAAUAAUGAUCUUGUAAAUCAUAGAUAGGAAUUUCCUUUAAAACU
rnacentral:tRNA from 1 species